GGGGAUUUAGCUCAGUGGUAGAGCGCUUGCCUAGCAAGUGCAAGGCCCGUAGUUCAGUCCCUA
rnacentral:tRNA from 1 species